rnacentral:snRNA from 1 species
CUGCUCACUUCGGCAGCACAGAUACUAAAAUUGGGACGAUGCAGAGAAGAUUAGCGUGGCCCCUGCGCAAGGACGACACAGUACCGCUGGAGACAGUCAGAGGAGGUAAAGCGUGUAUUUUUUUUUU